GGCUGUACACUUCCUUUAAGUUUAGAGCACUUUUUAUAGACAGCGCCACCUACCGCAAUAGAUGAUCAGUAAAGUGCACAAUUUACGUUUUAAAUUGAUGAUUUCACUCAAAAUAUACUUACAAUACAAAAGGCUUAUUCAAGAAGAAUUCUCCGUUGAUGCUGAACGAAGUAGCAGCAUUUAUCGCCAUGAUAGACAACGGUAACCAUAUGGACAUGCCUUUGAUACGGAAGUGGUGGUGUCUUCUUCUCAUGGAGCGUUUCCAAACAGAGGGAUGCGACAACCUGAAACAAAACAUAUGAAUAUUUAUGUUCGAAAUAUAUAGCCAGAGGUUCGCUUUCUGGACUGAUGAAGCCAGAAUCCUGCUCCAGGGAACCCUGAAGCCUGUUUACACAGUGCCAAGACGAGGUGCCGUCACUGAUGAAGUUCCGCUCCAUAUGCAGGCUGUCACUGAACGCACUGCAAAGGAAACCAGACUGGUGGACUUCAUUAUCCAGUCAAAGGGAGCUGAGCAGCAUUUGGUGGUACUUUGAAAAUGUUCCUGUUUUCUCAUCAUUGCAGACUGACUCAGAAAAGAGUCACUUAGGGCCUUUGUUAGUAAUAUUAUCAGUGGACAGAACACUUUCUGGCUGUGUUUCAAAAGAAUACCUGAGUUCCAGAAAUUCAUUGUUUCUGUACUUUGGUUUACCCUCAGGAUGUACUUAGUGGCAAACGCUCUACUUGGAUUCAUCAGAAGUCUUGUUGCCAGAUGCCUGUCUACCUGGAUAGUGAAGAACAACAGGACAAGCUUUUUGCAUUCUUAAAGACUACUGCACAGAGGACCACAACACCACUGAGCUUCACAGAUGAAGUGCUGUUCAUCUUUGAUGUUCUCUCUCCAGAGGCCAUCAUAUAUGGCCUGUCUAUGCAGGACAAUCUGUCCCUGCAGGACAGUCUGUCCCUGCAGGAGGCUGAGCAGGUCUUCUUCCAGCUUACCAUCAAAGUGAAGUGGAGGAGUUUUGUCAAAGGAUUAAAAAAGACCUGAAGAAAGAAGGCAGACUGUUCAGUUGGAGGACGUGAGAUCAGAGGUUUUGCAGCGGGAGUCAUAGACAU
ensembl:lncRNA